UUUCCUAGGUAACAGAGCAACUGAUCUAAACCUGGUUCGUUCUUCCACGCACGGACAUUAUGAGGAGAGUCUGUUUGAAGUAAGAGUGUUUCCUGGUCAGUGCAGUUUAGUUUUGUUUACUGAAGUGAGUGGAAAGGCAGAACUUAGAUGAAAAGAUUCAGCUGUAAAUAAAAGAGGAAAUAAAUCCAUUCAGCUGGUGAUUUAAGACUGGAUCCUGCUCACUGAAAUCUGCUUCACCGCGAAUGAUGUCACACACCACCCUGCUGUCGUCGUUUCGCCAAAACACAGUCUGCGGCUUCUGGCCAAAUGAACACGACUGGAUGCUGAUCAUCGAAAUCUGCUUCACCCCCUCUGAUGUCACAGACCGUCCUGCUGUUGUUGUAUCGCCAAUGCAUAGUCUGCAGCUUCUCUCCAAAUUUACAAGAAAUCCACUGGAAACCACUGACCACUUUUGUUCCCUUUGGUCAGGUUUGUGUGAAUCUUAACACCUUAUCAGCUGACUCCUGGUCACAUUCCUGGUGUAGAGGAAGCUCAGACCAUCACCGAUUACAGGAGAAACAAUCUUCUGCCUGUAUCAAUGAUAGCUCCAUUCCAGACACAUUAUAUUAAUUCUACACCCAGUUUGAAGUAUUUAACAUGGAGGCAGCAGUAGGGAACGGAACUCCCCCAGUGACCAGGGGAUUUACUUGCCUUACUGCCCCAUUGCAAUCACCCCAAUCAUCUGUGGCAUCAUGCAGGAUCUCUCUCACCCCUCACACGGACUGUUCACACUCCUCGCGUCUGGACGUAGGCUACGGUACAUCUGGGCCAAGUCCUUCUGAACGGUUUCUUCAGCCUGAACUUUCACCUCAGCCCUAUUCCUGUCUAUUGUCAUUACCUAUUUACACCCAACCACUUUCCACUUCACUGUCUAUACAUCUGACUAGAGUCAAAACCAAAACAGUUCCAGACUUAUAAGGGAAAAGUCAGCAGUGGAUAUUCUGGGCCAGCACUGAAUAUGAAUGGCUGCUUACUGUAAAUCGCCAGCUCUAACUGGAAAUGGUUGAUCUCUGGCCUCCGUCACAUCAUUGUGAAGUGAAAAUGCCAAUGUUAUUCCACAGCAUGUGAUCCCUACCAAAAGUAGACUUCAUCAAAAAGGGAGAAAAGAAUCACCUAGCAUGUUUCAUGUUGAUUCAGAAGUUGAUCUUCACAAGAGAGAAGUUAGGGUUUUAUGUUCUGAGAGAUGGUGAACCUGUAUCAGAGUGCAUCAGAGGUAAGAGAGUGACCUUCGGGACAAGGCAUCAUCCUGUGACGGGAUUUUGUUGGCUUUGAAUUGAGAUCACAAUACAUUUUGUUAGGAACAAAUAUUUAAUAUAAUAUUAAAUUCUAACAUUACUGUAGCAAAGCGUGGCUGCACAAUUUUCCUUGCAGAAGUUUAUGAAUGAUUUCUCAGCUACGUUUUGAAUGACUGAUUAACUUCACAUUUGUACUAUAGAUGUUGAAAUCCUGAGGAACAGUAAUUGCUGUUUAUUAUAUAAUGUUAAUCAUUGUAAAAUUUCAUCAUAAUAGUGUCCCAAAGUUAAACGGAAUUCAAUGUUAUUAACAGCUGCUUAAAUAAUUUGUUAUUGUUAUUCUCCCGAGAACAACUGAUCACCACUUGUGGGUUUAAAAAAAAAAAAAGUCUUGAUAAACACAGCCAUGACAUUUAUGAUCAUUGAUCAAAGCCA